UAGAAAGCCAAAAGCGCCAAAUGCCCUACAAGACCGACCUGACUACCAACAUCAAAGGUCAACUUGGAGCAUGAUACCACAGUCCCCAAUAGCCCCUCAAAUGUAAUACGACGAUCACUGUUUCUGAGCUGCUCCAGUGGCUGCUCCAAACUUGUUGAGCUGCUUAACAAUGUAAAGCAGAUGCAGAAAACUCAACGGAACCAUUAUACAAAAACCCAGUGAUGUUCCUCUAGGAAAUGAAGAAAGAAAUGGGAUGUUUCAUUGAACGAAUCACCAGAUGCAAACUCAUUUGAAGCAGACUUGGCAACUUGUUGACACUUGCUUCAGCUCAUUUUAAAUUUUCCUCAUCUUUUCG